rnacentral:misc_RNA from 1 species
GGGUGCUACUUUCAAGGUGGAAGGGCCAGCAAUUCUUGCCGCCAGAGAGUAGAAGACUUUUCUAUAUCCAAUAAAAGGAGAGUUUAUGAUGAAGCUGUGCAAUCGGCAUAAGGGUCCAACGUGAAUUGCUGGGUAUGAAUCUUGGUAGAAUGUACAAGUAAAAAGCGCUAUUAGUUAGCAUUAUGGUUGUGAAAAGUAGUUGUAUCUUGCUAGCUUUGUCCUAAGCGCUUCGGUUUCUUCUAUGUACAGCCAUGUUUUUUUAAGAUAAAUAAAAGUAUGUUUGUU